rnacentral:rRNA from 1 species
ACGGGUGAGUAACACGUGAGUAACCUGCCCCCUUCUUUGGGAUAACGCCCGGAAACGGGUGCUAAUACUGGAUAUUCACUGAUCUUCGCAUGGGGGUUGGUGGAAAGGUUUUUUCUGGUGGGGGAUGGGCUCGCGGCCUAUCAGCUUGUUGGUGGGGUGAUGGCCUACCAAGGCUUUGACGGGUAGCCGGCCUGAGAGGGUGACCGGUCACAUUGGGACUGAGAUACGGCCCAGACUCCUACGGGAGGCAGCAGUGGGGAAUAUUGCACAAUGGGCGAAAGCCUGAUGCAGCGACGCCGCGUGAGGGAUGGAGGCCUUCGGGUUGUAAACCUCUUUCGCUCAUGGUCAAGCCGCAACAUGUGGUUGUGGUGAGGGUAGUGGGUAAAGAAGCGCCGGCUAACUACGUGCCAGCAGCCGCGGUAAUACGUAGGUCCCGAGCGUUGUCCGGAUUUAUUGGGCGUAAAGCGAGCGCAGGCGGUUAGAUAAGUCUGAAGUUAAAGGCUGUGGCUUAACCAUAGUACGCUUUGGAAACUGUUUAACUUGAGUGCAAGAGGGGAGAGUGGAAUUCCAUGUGUAGCGGUGAAAUGCGUAGAUAUAUGGAGGAACACCGGUGGCGAAAGCGGCUCUCUGGCUUGUAACUGACGCUGACGCUCGAAAGCGUGGGGAGCAAACAGGAUUAGAUACCCUGGUAGUCCACGCCGUAAAC